rnacentral:rRNA from 1 species
CCUACGGGGGGCUGCAGUAGGGAAUCUUCGGCAAUGGACGAAAGUCUGACCGAGCAACGCCGCGUGAGUGAAGAAGGUUUUCGGAUCGUAAAACUCUGUUGUUAGAGAAGAACAAGGAUGAGAGUAACUGUUCAUCCCUUGACGGUAUCUAACCAGAAAGCCACGGCUAACUACGUGCCAGCAGCCGCGGUAAUACGUAGGUGGCAAGCGUUGUCCGGAUUUAUUGGGCGUAAAGCGAGCGCAGGCGGUUUCUUAAGUCUGAUGUGAAAGCCCCCGGCUCAACCGGGGAGGGUCAUUGGAAACUGGGAGACUUGAGUGCAGAAGAGGAGAGUGGAAUUCCAUGUGUAGCGGUGAAAUGCGUAGAUAUAUGGAGGAACACCAGUGGCGAAGGCGGCUCUCUGGUCUGUAACUGACGCUGAGGCUCGAAAGCGUGGGGAGCAAACAGGAUUAGAUACCCCAGUAGUC